GGUUUUGUAAAUCUUGCAAAUGAUAGCACUUAAUCUUCCUCUAAUUUUUUUACUGGAAUUUGACUAUAAAAAAUCACUGUGUUGACUAACCUAUCUUUUACAUUGGGUCUUAGCAUAAUAGUCUUAACUCGUCGUAAGCAAAUAAACAGUAUUCAAUAUGUGACCAUGUACAUAAUAGCUGAUAAAUCUAUUUUUUAUUAGUAAGGAGUAAUUAUUAUAUUUUGGAAUAGAGCUGUGUAAAUCUGAGCCGAUUUAUUUAUGAUAGUCUAAGUCUAUUUGAUAUGUUAUAUCGUCGAGUCGCAACCCUAGGUGCCAACCGUCACAAUUUCUACGAUAAAAACUAACUUCAAUAUGAAACUUGUUGCAUAUUUUUAUUUUGUUUGAUCUCUGAUAGGGUUGUGCCUCUAGGGUUGCGCUUGUUUUAUCAAUUGUAAAUUGCAUUUUACGCAAUAGCUCUACACAUUAAACGUGUCGUUUGUGAGUAAUUGAUUCUGUAUUUAAAAAAUAAAAGGAUUCUUUAUAA